UCCAUGUCGUCACUUCCGCCAGUCCCAGAAGGCGUCGGGCGUGCUGCGGGAAGGUCGUGCAGGGGAGAGGCCGCCGUGUUCCGUGUCGGUACCAUGCUGGCUGUCGGUGUCCGUAGGUUCACUACCUCCGUCCUCCGUAGGAGCCACUACGAGGAUGGGCCUGGGAAG